AUAUCAAUAAGCGGAGGA
rnacentral:rRNA from 6 species